GGCAUCGAUCCGGCAGGCUCUGACCAGGGUGGCGGGAGGCUCAAGGCCUGGGUUUCUUUUUCAAAACCCUUCAUUCUCUGAGUUCUUCCUGUCCUGUGCACGCCUGGGGGCCGAGAAAUGGGGAAUCGUUUAUCCAUCCAUGCCCCUUAGGCCCGGCCCUGGGUCAAAAAUGAGCUCGGAGGACCGGGGCUUUAGCUCAGUGGUGCCACCGCCUGCCUCGCAAGCGCAAGGCUCCUCUCUUUCCGGAGCGACUCUGGCUCGUCGACCUGCUCUUCGUCCCGUGCACUGAAGAUGACGCCUCCUCUUUCUCUCUCC
rnacentral:lncRNA from 1 species